AGCCGGAUCCCACCCCACCUGCCUCCUUCCCGAUCCCGACCUCCCGAACCCUGCCGCACCGCCAACCCCGCCGCCGCCUCCUUUGACCCAGCACUCCGUUCCAUGGAUCCACUACGCGACGGCCAGUUCUCACGGCAGUCGCCGCCCGCUCUUCCCCUCCUGGUGCACCUCCCCCACCAAGCUCUCUCUCCUAGAUCGUGAGCUAAACGAAAAUGAUUUACGGAACCUCUGGUCGUUGCCUCUCAGCGGCGACUACCCUUGCGGCGGUUGCGGGAGAGAUGGAUCCUCAUCCUCCCGAAAAUACACUCGGCACCCGCCUCGUGAUUUGUGGUGGCGGCCACGGCACUACCUUCCCACGUCGCCGAAGAGGCCCCCGGGGCGGGCGACGACGCCUUUAGCGGCCUUCCGGAGGCACAGCAAGUCUGGCCUACGGUGGGGUGGCGGCAUGCACAGCAUGGACGUCGUCUGAUUCAGGAGCGACCUCUGGCUGCUGAAAAACCAAUCGCUGGAACACGUGUGGAUGGCCUCUGGCACGGUCCUCACCAACGGAGGGGCCUCGCCAACGCUGCAGUGCUGCAGGGCCACCCCGGCCAUCGGCGCCGACAGUGUGUGCCUCAUCCUGACAGGCAAAGUGGCCUUCGGCCUCCCCAUCAACUGCACCCUCGGCAUCUCCCUUCCGAGGAUCUGCAAGUCACUCUGCGUCUCGCUCGUUUGUAGAGGUCCGUUUCUACUUGCAACGAUUUAUUUUCAUUGAAGAAAUUUACUUCUGAUUAGCGAAAAAAGUUCUUUUCUGUUCCAUGCUUGUGAUGUGCAGAUACAUCAACGCAGAUCCUAGCUCCAGAUUGCAUAAAUUCUCCUUUGUUGACCUUGCAUUGACAUCACUGCAGUACGGACCACUGACUGUACAUAUUACUACAGUGAAUUAACUUGCAGGGCAUGUUGCAUUUAAUCCAGCACUGCCCCCUCUGCAUAAGUAUCUUCAAUGGCCUUCUGCGUAUAGGGCGCCAGUAGUGCUGAUAGUACCAUAUCCGUAUCGAAGUUGCACAUUCAUUUGGUCUGAAUAGAUGUCUCGCAAUUCUUCCGCACUGUUGCCACCGGAUUCGUCAGUUGAUGAGAAGGCGCCGCUGCCGUGAGUGGAAUCGACGCCGAUCAUGCAGGGGCAGAGGCAGGUGGUGGUGCCCAUCAUGCAUUGGUAGCAUAGUUUUAAAUAGCGCACUAAGCAUCUUAGCGGCGGACCUCUUCCAAAUGCUAUAGCGUGCUAUAGCGGAGCUAUAGCGCGCUAUUUAAAAUGUUUGUUCAUUUGUUUGGACCAAAAUCUCUUAGCGCAAGACCUUUUGUAAACGCUAUAGUGUGCUAUAGCGGGCUAUUUAAAACAAUGAUUGGUAGGUAUGUUUUUGCAAAUCUGUGUUACAGUUGGUAUUGGGUGCGUAUGUAUGUAGUUAGAGAAGUAAAUCUGUUUCAUGCAUGGAGGAGAGAUGUGCAGCUCUGUGAAGAGUUCAUGAAUACUUCUGAAAGAAUGCUCAACUGACAGUCUAUAAAAGGACUAGAAAUGCAUGGCAUGCUUGGUCCAAAGUACAACAGUUUGUUGGCUUGCUUCGCACAGUCUUUCGCCGUGCUAUAUUUGUGAAGAGGUAAUAUUUUGUGUUGUCUACACACAUUAUCAGCUCGCCUUUUCUAAAUGUUCGGUUAUUAUGCAGGUAAAGACAUAUGAGAAGCAAAGAGGAUCAAAUGAUUCCACAUACUGGGUAUUAUUUGAACUAAUAUGGGGGGGGCUACUUCAGAUUCCUUUCAGCAAAAUAUGGGAACUCCAUUUUCUUGCAAGGGUAACCAUAGCAUCUACAUUGCUUUAUGCCUGAAACUGAGAGCUUUGGAACAGUGUUAUGUGCUAUUGGACAAGUAGAUACUGAGAUACCGAUCAGUGGUGGCCAGCAGCAAAUACAAGAAAUGUUAGAUACAUCCACACUCUUUCUUGAUCUAUGGUAAUAAUGUUACGCCAAUGACAUAGUUUAUUUAGCUCUCAAGAAUGGCUGCUUAUCGUUCAAGAAUCAGGACAACUACUUCUAUUUCGUAUUCAUUCUAAAACUUCUAUGAAGCAACAAAAGUUCCUUGUUGUGAAUUUGUUCUGAAGCUACUAAAAUAUCCCCUUGUACUAAAAUAAGAUUUCUACUCAAACUUUGACAAG